AAAGUCGGCCAGGCAAUCGCCGCGUGCCUUAAAACACGGGGAGGAAAGUCCGGGCUUCACAGGGCAGGAUGCCAGCUAACGGCUGGGCGCCAUAAGCCGCAAGGCGAAAGCGACGGACAGUGCAACAGAAAAUAAACCGCCGAUGGCCUCGCAAGAGGAUCAGGCAAGGGUGAAACGGUGCGGUAAGAGCGCACCGCGUCCACGGCAACGGCGGACGGCACGGCAAACCCCAUCCGAAGCAAGACCAAACAGGAAGCCACGGCGCGGCCCGCGCCGCUUCCGGGUAGGUCGCUUGAGCCUGUCGGCGACGGCGGGCCUAGAGGAAUGAUUGCCGAACCUCGUGAGAGGGGAACAGAACCCGGCUUAUCGGCCGGCUUUCCAA
rnacentral:RNase_P_RNA from 1 species